GUUGUGCCAGGGAGGCAGGCGUUACCUCCAGCUCCCGCAGGACGGGGUGGUCCUCGAUGCCUGGGAACAGGACUCGCAUGGCAUGUAGUUAAAACACAGACAGAGGGAGGACAUCAUUACUGGGUAAUUCCCUGAAGAUGCUGGAACUGCUGAAACAGGGCCACACGGGACUCCAGGUUGUCCAUCUGCAUUUGGAGCCGCUUGAGCGUGAGGUCGUUUUCUCGAGACUUGCGC